GACGAACGCUGGCGGCAUGCCUAAUACAUGCAAGUCGAGCGAACAGAUGAAGUGCUUGCACUUCUGACGUUAGCGGCGAACGGGUGAGUAACACGUAAGGAAUCUACCUAUAAGCGGGGGAUAACAUUCGGAAACGGGUGCUAAUACCGCAUAAUAUCUUCUUCCGCAUGGAAGAAGAUUGAAAGACGGCUCUGCUGUCACUUAUAGAUGACCUUGCGGUGCAUUAGUUAGUUGGUGGGGUAACGGCCUACCAAGACGAUGAUGCAUAGCCGAACUGAGAGGGUAAUCGGCCACAUUGGUACUUAGACACGGCCCAAACUCCUACGGGAGGCAGCAGUAGGGAAUCUUCCGCAAUGGGCGAAAGCCUGACGGAGCAAUGCCGCGUGAAUGAAGAAGACCUUCGGGUCGUAAAACUCUGUUAUAAGAGAAGAACAAAUUGUAGAGUAACUGCUACAGUCUUGACGGUAUCUAUCAGAAAGCCACGGCUAACUACGUGCCAGCCGCCGCCGUAA
rnacentral:rRNA from 1 species